CGGAGGAAAAGAAACCAACAGGGAUUGCCUCAGUAACGGCGAGUGAAGCGGCAAAAGCUCAAAUUUGAAAUCCCCCGGGAAUUGUAAUUUGAAGAGAUUUGGGUCCGGCCGGCAGGGGUUAAGUCCACUGGAAAGUGGCGCCACAGAGGGUGACAGCCCCGUGAACCCCUUCAACGCCCUCAUCCCAGAUCUCCAAGAGUCGAGUUGUUUGGGAAUGCAGCUCUAAGUGGGUGGUAAAUUCCAUCUAAAGCUAAAUACCGGCGAGAGACCGAUAGCGAACAAGUACAGUGAUGGAAAGAUGAAAAGCACUUUGAAAAGAGAGUGAAAAAGUACGUGAAAUUGUUGAAAGGGAAGGGCUUGCAAGCAGACACUUAACUGGGCCAGCAUCGGGGCGGCGGGRARCAAAACCACCGGGGAAUGUACCUUUCGAGGAUUAUAACCCCGG
rnacentral:rRNA from 2 species